rnacentral:siRNA from 1 species
CGAUGAGCGAUCCUGCGGUGA